rnacentral:rRNA from 1 species
CAGUCGUACCGACGAGAAAUCAACCUUUCGAGUGCGAACUUGUGGGUGUACGUGAGCUUUAACCGGCCUCGUUGUUUGCGAUGUUUGUGCUUUUUCGGGUGUACUUUUUCGUUAGGUAGGCCAACGUCAGUCUCGGUCACCAUAAAAUGGUCAGAGGAAUGUAGCUUCGAUCUUGUAUUGAAGUGUUAUAGCCUUCGGUAGAUGUGGUGAUCGAGAUUGAGGAUUGCAACGGAUACCCGUUCGGGGCUACCUGUCUGGUCUCUGAUCGUUGCUCUGGUGCCGAAAGCUUGCUUACGGUUAUCAAAGUCGAUGGU